CCCUACUGCUAUCGGGGCAGGACUAAGACAUGCAAGUUGUGCGUCUCUAAGCUAUGAUAGAGACGCGGCGUACGGCUCAAUAACGCGUGGCUAACCUACCCUUAGGACGGGGACAACCCCGGGAAACUGGGGCUAAUACCUGAUAGGUGAGGAGGCUUGGAAUAGUUCUUCGCCGAAAAGGUGUUGAAAUCAUGCUUUUCAACGUCGCCUAAGGAUGGGGCCGCGCCCGAUCAGGUUGUUGGUGAGGUAAUGGCUCACCAAGCCUAUAACCGGUACGGGCCGUGAGAGCGGGAGCCCGGAGAUGGGCACUGAGACAAGGGCCCAGGCCCUACGGGGCGCAGCAGUCGCGAAAACUCCGCAAUGCGCAAAAGCGUGACGGGGCUACCCCGAGUGCCGUCCGCUGAGGAUGGCUUUUCCUUGGUGUAAUGAGCCGAGGGAAUAAGGAGAGGGCAAGACUGGUGUCAGCCGCCGCGGUAAUACCAGCUCUCCGAGUAGUAGGGACGAUUAUUGGGCUUAAAGCGUUCGUAGCCGGCUUAGCAAGUCUCCUGUUAAAUUCAGCGACUUAAUCGUUGAGCCGCGGGAGAUACUACUAGGCUAGGAGGCGGGAGAGGCUGACGGUAUUCCCGGGGUAGGGGUGAAAUCCUAUAAUCCCGGGAGGACCACCAGUGGCGAAGGCUGUCAGCUAGAACGCGCUCGACGGUGAUGGACGAAAGCUGGGGGAGCGAACCGGAUUAGAUACCCGGGUAGUCCCAGCUGUAAACGAUGCGGGCUAGGUGUUGGGGUGGCUACGAGCCACUUCAGUGCCGCAGGGAAGCCAUUAAGCCCGCCGCCUGGGGAGUACGGCCGCAAGGCUGAAACUUAAAGGAAUUGGCGGGGGAGCACCACAAGGCGUGAAGCUUGCGGUUC
rnacentral:rRNA from 1 species